UGGUUUUGACAGCGGGUCUAACGGUAGUAUAAGCAUGUCGAGCGCUGGGAUAUAGCUCGUAAAUAUCAUAUUUCACACUUUUUAAACGGCGAUAAUAAUUACGCCCUAGCUGCAUAAUCUGAAUUAUAGUAAGAUUACGCCUCGGCCUACUAGGUAGGCAAGCAGGAAGUCACUCAAACACCUUGGUUUACGGUUUUUGAUAUAGUGACUUCGUAGAAGUAAACCUAGCUUCCAUAGGGCUUUGAUAUGGUCGCGAAACUUAAUUGAAGCUAAGCUGUGCGUUGGUAGUUUUCGACCGGCAAGCAGACGAAAAUUUAAAUGAAAACUAAACAUGUAGAAAGUAGUAUUGUUGCUUGUUUGGACGAGGGUUCGAAUCCCUCC
rnacentral:tmRNA from 11 species